rnacentral:rRNA from 1 species
GGGAACUGCGUUNUGAACUGGGUGACUAGAGUGUNUCAGAGGGAGGUAGAAUUCCACGUGUAGCAGUGAAAUGCGUAGAGAUGUGGAGGAAUACCGAUGGCGAAGGCAGCCUCCUGGGAUANCACUGACGUUCAUGCCCGAAAGCGUGGGUAGCAAACAGGAUUAGAUACCCUGGUAGUCCACGCCCUAAACGAUGUCGAUUAGCUGUUGGGCAGCAUGACUGCUUAGUAGCGAAGCUAACGCGUGAAAUCGACCGCCUGGGAAGUACGGUCGCAAGAUUAAAACUCAAAGGAAUUGACGGGGACCCGCACAAGCGGUGGAUGAUGUGGAUUAAUUCGAUGCAACGCGAAGAACCUUACCUGGUCUUGACAUGUACGGAACCCUCCAGAGACGGAGGGGUGCCUUCGGGAGCCGUAACACAGGUGCUGCAUGGCUGUCGUCAGCUCGUGUCGUGAGAUGUUGGGUUAAGUCCCGCAACGAGCGCAACCCUUGUCAUUAGUUGCCAUCAUUAAGUUGGGCACUCUAAUGAGACUGCCGGUGACAAGCCGGAGGAAGGUGGGGAUGACGUCAAGUCCUCAUGGCCCUUAUGACCAGGGCUUCACACGUCAUACAAUGGUCGGUACAGAGGGUAGCCAAGCCGCGAGGUGGAGCCAAUCUCACAAAACCGAUCGUAGUCCGGAUUGCACUCUGCAACUCGAGUGCAUGAAGUCGGAAUCGCUAGUAAUCGCAGGUCAGCAUACUGCGGUGAAUACGUUCCCGGGUCUUGUACACACC